UGUAUAUAACAAUAUACAAUAUUUUGAAUAUGCAAUUAACCUCUUCAUUCCAGUAACUUUGAAUAUCUUGUGUAUCACCAACGAAAGCCCCGGGAUAAAAUCAUCAUUCCAGUAACUUUUCCUCUAGUAAUUUACUAAAUAACCCUCUUCUCAACACGUGGCGUCUUCUUAUUCGUUAAGAAAAGUACAAUGAAGAAACCGCGUCUUAGCUAGCUCUACAGAAAUAACCAGACAGACUAGAUCUGACAUGAAAUUGUACCAAAUGUUGUGACAAUAAAGUUUGAGAUGUUGCCAAGACUUAACCAACAAUAACUCAGAGAGAGAGAGAGAGAGAUGUGGUGUCGAUGAUCAAGUACGAACCUUGUGAUAAAUUUUAGUAGCUUCUUAAUUAAGAUGAAAUACUAACACAAAAAAAGCACUGUUCUUCUUUAGCAUAGCAGAUCCAACGUCGAUCUCAAGAGCCCUCCUAGAACUUUAGCAGCUAAAGGCAAGCCAUUACAUUUCUUAGCUACUUCUUUGCCGAUACUUUCCAAUCUUGGAUUCUCAAUAAACAUAUCAAGAUUUCCACGAGAGGCGUGUUUCGCAAACAGUUCCCAACACUCAUCUUUUGAUAAUUCUUUAAGAUAGUGUGGAUCAACAGUUCCAAUGCUAUCCGCAACUGUUUUGUUUCUUGUUGUCACUAUUAUUUUGCUGCCUCUUACCCCAUUAUUGAAAGGCUUCAGGUCCUACGUCCAAGGCAGCAGAGUCAACAAGGUCCCUAUAUAGUCACUCAAUCAAACACCACACCUACCUCUCUUUAGUACACAUCUUUUAGACUUCAAUCUAACCUGCAAUACACAAUGCAUACAACCAAGAAAGCAAAACUGACAGCACUUGUUCAAACUGACAGUAAUUUAAAAUUUAUCAUAUCUUGUCAGUUCCAUUCUUUAAUGUUACACAACUUAAUUCGUUGGAUUUAGCAAUUUUAUUAUGUUUGAUGAUGUUUACUAGUUUGUAUUAGAUAUGAGGAUCAAUAAUAUUUGAUAUGAAACAUCCUAUCCUUGUGAUUACUACUACUUCAUCACCAAUGAUUAAGAUAUCAUCCACAACAUGAAAGAGACAAGAAUAAUCAAAGGGAGGAGCUUUGAAGCAUUCUAUAAUGUAAGAGUUUCUGGCUUACAAAAUAUCACCACCAUAGAAUGCCUAAAAUUAGUAAUCUGCAGGUUUAAGAGUGAUAAUUUAUCAGUUUUGAUCUUUUCUUUUUUUACUUUAUUUAUAGUAGUUUGUGUCGGUGGAGGUAUUUUUGAGGUUAAAUGAACCAACUGCCAAAAGAACAUAGCUCUCAAGUAUCUCAAAUCAAUUGCUCCUCACCUCACAUGAUGAUGUCUCUAUUGGAUUUAACAAUAGAUCUCAUCUUAGCUAUAAGAAGAGCAAAUUUUACAGCACUUUCCACAUUCAACAAAGAAUUAUAAAAAUAUAUAUAGAUCGGAUCGGAUUGCAAAUAAGGUUGAAACUCAAUCUCAACUGUUCACCUAACUUUGUUCUCAUUGCAUGGAAGAGGGGCCAGAAGAACCAUCUUCUCUAGCAACAGCACAGCUACUGGGACUCUACAACCUAACUCUCACUUCAGCAAAAUGACUCUGAAACAAUUACAAGGAUACCUUUUUAAUGUCUCUUAAUCUUUUGUACUCUACUCCCUAUUUGUAAUAAAACAGUAAAUCAUUGAUGAUUAUAAUGAUAAUGAUAUUUUCUUUUC